rnacentral:siRNA from 1 species
CCGCUCUUGUUCCGCUAGAACC